UGGCAAUGAAAAUUCCAUUUAACUCAAUUUCACCAGUCCUAUACUAGAUAUAAGCCGGACUAGUACCAAAUGUGUCCCCAAGUAAUGCAAAGGUAACCAAUUGACACCUUUUCGUCCCCAAGUAAUGCAAAGAAGCGACAGUUGUGCAUAAAUAAAAACCACCACGAAAAAACCAAACGAACAUUUGAAUGAUAUCUCUACGAACAAGAACCACUUAUAGUUUUUUUUAGAUUACCAAUAAAAAAAACAAUGCACCGUUAUUCUUGAGGAAUGCAAGUGCGUUUUGUUUGGAAAAAACAUUCUUAUUCUGAUCGUUGUGAAGUGAAGUAUCAUUUUUCUGUGCAAAUAAGUUAUAAAGUGUUGAAAAUAACAAAUAAAAAGGUCAAAUCAAAAUUUUAGCUGAUGCUUUAGCUGAGUUGAAGAUGAUGGUGCUACGAUCUCAAAGUGAUGAGAUACCAUUAUCGAAUAGGUUCCCCAUCACUUAUGAAAAAUAUUGAGAAUCAAUACAUAUAUGUAAAGAUUAUAGCAUCAAUUAUAAAAGGAGAGGAAAUAUCGAAAUGUUUAAAAAUGUUAUCGGUUCAAAUAUUACUACGAGUAUAAUAUUGAGGGAAACCAUGGAAAAAAGUUUGAAGUCCCUAAGUAAUAUAUACAGCGUUAUUUUAGGUAAGGUGUAUAUAAACAUUAUUUUUAUAUUCUACAUUUUCAUACAUUAAACAUUAUUUUUUGCACAUUCAAUACCAGUUACAGAAUAUUCGGACACCCCUGAAACACAACUGCGAAAAGCAAUACAAGUGCUUUUAUAAAUAUUAAAUUUAAUUUAUUUUUGUUCAAGUUUUAUAGAGUAAGGUAU